GCUGGAAUAAGAGAGAAAGAGAGAGAAAAGGAAAAGAAAGAAAGAAAGGAAGAAGGAGAAGGAGAUGAACAGUAGCAGAAAAAGGGAUUCAGCAGGGCAGCAUGUUUCUCUUCCGUCCAGGGGAAAUCUUGAAGAAUAACAAGCUCAAGGUUGGUUUCAAAAAGGUACUGAAGGUAAAAACCAGUAGACUAUCGACUGAGAUUUUUGGAGUCCAGAUCUGCAGAAGUGUUAGAAGAGUUCAAGAUUGUCACCUCCUCAGCAAUACAUGUAGAUAGGGCUCAUUUUAUACAUGUUAUGUAUAUUGUUCAUUCCUAGCACAUUGUAAAUUAUUUGUAUAUCUUGUACAAAAUAAACUCAUUUAAUUAACCUAUGA